rnacentral:rRNA from 1 species
UACGAAGGGGGCUAGCGUUGCUCGGAAUCACUGGGCGUAAAGCGCACGUAGGCGGCUUUCUAAGUCAGGGGUGAAAUCCUGGAGCUCAACUCCAGAACUGCCUUUGAUACUGGAGAGCUUGAGUCCGGGAGAGGUGAGUGGAACUCCGAGUGUAGAGGUGAAAUUCGUAGAUAUUCGGAGGAACACCAGUGGCGAAGGCGACUUUCUGGUCUGUAACUGACACUGAGGCGCGAAAGCGUGGGGAGCGAACAGG